rnacentral:rRNA from 1 species
GGAUUAGAUACCCUGGUAGUCCACGCCGUAAACGAUGGGUGCUAGAUAUCGGAUUUAUUUUCGGUGUCGUAGCUAACGUGUUAAGCACCCCGCCUGGGGAGUACGGUCGCAAGAUUAAAACUCAAAGGAAUUGACGGGGACCCGCACAAGCGGUGGAGCAUGUGGUUUAAUUCGAUGCAACGCGAAGAACCUUACCACCCUUUGACAUCGGGAUCGCGGAGACCAGAAAUGGUUUCUUUCAGCUCGGCUGGAUCCCUGACAGGUGUUGCAUGGCUGUCGUCAGCUCGUGCCG